AGUGAACGCUGGCGGUAGGCCUAACACAUGCAAGUCGAACGGCAGCACAGUAAGAGCUUGCUCUUACGGGUGGCGAGUGGCGGACGGGUGAGGAAUACAUCGGAAUCUACUUUUUCGUGGGGGAUAACGUAGGGAAACUUACGCUAAUACCGCAUACGACCUACGGGUGAAAGCAGGGGAUCUUCGGACCUUGCGCGAUUGAAUGAGCCGAUGUCGGAUUAGCUAGUUGGCGGGGUAAAGGCCCACCAAGGCGACGAUCCGUAGCUGGUCUGAGAGGAUGAUCAGCCACACUGGAACUGAGACACGGUCCAGACUCCUACGGGAGGCAGCAGUGGGGAAUAUUGGACAAUGGGCGCAAGCCUGAUCCAGCCAUACCGCGUGGGUGAAGAAGGCCUUCGGGUUGUAAAGCGCUUUUGUUGGGAAAGAAAAGCAGCAGGUUAAUACCCCGCUGUUCUGACGGUACCCAAAGAAUAAGCACCGGCUAACUUCG
rnacentral:rRNA from 1 species